CAGUAGCCGCGGUAAUACGUAGGGUGCAAGCGUUAUCCGGAAUUAUUGGGCGUAAAGAGCUCGUAGGCGGUUUGUCGCGUCUGCUGUGAAAACUGGAGGCUCAACCUCCAGCCUGCAGUGGGUACGGGCAGACUAGAGUGCGGUAGGGGAGAUUGGAAUUCCUGGUGUAGCGGUGGAAUGCGCAGAUAUCAGGAGGAACACCGAUGGCGAAGGCAGAUCUCUGGGCCGUAACUGACGCUGAGGAGCGAAAGCAUGGGGAACGAACAGGAUUAGAUACCCCCGUAGUCCUGUCUCUUAUACC
rnacentral:rRNA from 1 species